rnacentral:tRNA from 1 species
GUACCCUUAGCUCAGUCGGUCCAUAACCGUCCGGUCGUAGGUUCGAGUCCUACAGGGUACA